UUUAUACAUGCUCGCUCUUCCCUCCGCGUUACAUAUCUUCUCUCUCGUGCCUCCGUCUAUCCAUCUUCUCUCUCUCUCCGCCAAACCCUAACUUCUCAUCAUCUCUCUAAUCCUCCAUCUCUCCACACCACCUCAUCCCUCCACCGAAGCCACCACUCUACCUCCAUUCCAUCUCCCCAUCUCUCAUCCACCACACUUCACCCGAAACCACAAGCCACCAACACCCCUUCUCUCUGGUCAAGCCGCCGCUGCGUCUUCUCCGGCCAUUUCUCAGGCCGUCUCUGCAUUGUCUUCGGCGAUUCUCUGGCCUAAGUUCUCUAUCUCUCGGAUUCUCAUUGGCCAUUCCUCCGACCGUCGUUCUCAUCUCAGGCCGUAUCUCCGGCAAUCUUCUCCAUCGCGGGCCAAUUUUCAGGCCGUCGCUGCGUUUUCUCCGGCCAUUUCUCAAGCCGUCGCUGGUCACAAUCCCUCUCUCCAUCUUUCUCUGAUAUUCUCACUCGGGCCGUCGCUGCGUUUUCUCCGGCCAUUUCUCAAGCCGUCGCUGGUCACAAUCCCUCUCUCAUCUUUCUCUGAUAUUCUCACUCGGGUGCAAACUUGCAAAGUGCGGAUUGUGCAAGUGUGAUCAGUGGUGAUAUACUGAUAUGUAAUUGAAGGCUAAAGUCACUAAAGUAUUGUGGUGCAGUGCAACUGUACAAGUGCAAGUGUGGGAAUUCAGUAUUCGGUAUUCACAGAAUCACAAUAAAGUGAUAAACCAAUAAGGCUGUGGCUGUGCUGUCUGUGAUCAUAUAUAUAGAUGAUGUGUGUUCUGAAAUUGUGGAGAAGAUGUGACUGUGAUGGGCUGUGAAGUUUGGGUAGUUUUUAUAUGUAUCUAUGUGUGAUGACAUAUGAUUUGUGUUCUGAAAUUGUGAUGGGCUGAGGCAUUGGAGAAGUUUAUAUAUAUAUACAUGUAUUACUUGAACUUUGGAUUCUAAAAUUCUGAAUUUUGGGAUUUGAUUCUUGUUGUCGAUUUAAACUGUUUAGUUCAAAUUUCUAAUGAGACUUUAUCUUCUAAUAGUGGUUUUGAGAGUGUUGCCGUUUGAUUGAGUCAGAAAUAAAUUUUUGAGGGAGGACCAUGAUGAUCCUUUGAUGUUGAGUGUUAAAAAUCUUUGGGAAUUGUUUGGGCAUUGUAGUUGAUAUUUAUGCUUGAGAGUUUGACAUUGAAAAAUAUUCUAAAGUUGCACUCUUGAUUAUUCUAAUGGAAAGCAUGUUCACACAAGUUCAUAUCCAUGUGUUAAGACUUUGAAAUUCUGAAAUUGCAAAAAUGAUGUUUUGAGAUUGUUCAACACAUGAGUUGUGAUGUUCAAUUUGGAUAAGUUGUAUUUGAAAUUCUGUUGUAUUUCAAUUGGAUACUUGGAUGAGUUGGAUAAUUUUGGAAAGGAACUUGAAUGUCAUUAAGCAUGCAAAUAAAUUCUGAAAUUAGAGGAGACACAAUCUUUGAUAUCUAUACGUGUUCUAUGCAUGUAUAUGGUUUCUUUUGGAACUUUUUGACAUGAUUGAUCUUCAAUGCAUAUAUGCUCAUGUGGAUCAUUUGUGAUGCUUAAUUUCUGAAAAUUCUAAGGGCUGAAAUGUUUAGAGGUGUUAUGUAGUUUUCAAAAUUGGAAAUUGGGAUUUGAUAGCUGAAAUGUGAAAUGUGAUUUGAUUUUGUUUCUUCAAGUUUCAAUCAUUUUCAGAAUUUGUCCGAAGUGUCCCUAAUUGAGAUGAACAUGCUCUAAGUGUAUCUUGCUUGAUUUUUGCCAUGUGAGGGCAUUUCAUGUUGUUUGUGAGCGAAUGUGAUGUGAGUUAUGAGUUGUAUUGAAAAUUGAGAUAAGACAAAUGACAAAUUUCUCUAGAGCUAAGUUAUUGCGGAGGAAACAGUUUUGGGAAUUGGGACUAAUUAUCAAAAGUAGUAUACACUGCACACUAUAUACAUGUUUUGUUAAUUAAUUUCCAUGAGAAAGAAAAGGUUGAUAUAUUGUUGAAGGAUGUCCAUGACGUUAAGCUUUCAUUCAUUUAUUUCUUGUGUGAAUUCAAUAAUUUUUGUAGGGAACACUUACAGUAAUAAAUCUCUGUUUUUUUUUUAUGAAAUCAACAAUAAUGAAUGUAUUCAUUUAUACAAAUGUUCAAGUAUAGAAGAUUUUGGUACAUUUAUUUAUUGAUCACCGAAGAUAAUGAAU